CCAUGAUAGACUCGGUUAUUGAAAACACGGAGUUGAUGUUUCCCAAGAGGUAUGAUCUCCCACCUUCCUUUGGUUCUGUUGAUCUCCUUUAGUAAAUGAAGGUGUUCAAAAAUUAAUCAUCAUUAGGUAACAUGUAACACGUG